GCCUACGGGCGGCAGCAGUAGGGAAUAUUGCACAAUGGGCGAAAGCCUGAUGCAGCAACGCCGCGUGCGCGAAGAAGGCCUUCGGGUUGUAAAGCGCUUUUCGGGGAGAUGAGGAAGGACAGUAUCCCCGGAAUAAGGCUCGGCUAACUACGUGCCAGCAGCCGCGGUAACACGUAGGAGCCAAGCGUUAUCCGAAUUCACUGGGCGUAAAGCGCGUGCAGGCGGCUCGGUAAGUUGGAUGUGAAAGCUCCUGGCUCAACUGGGAGAGGACGUUCAAUACUGUCGGGCUAGAGGACGGCAGAGGGAGGUGGAAUUCCCGGUGUAGUGGUGAAAUGCGUAGAUAUCGGGAGGAACACCAGUGGCGAAGGCGGCCUUCUGGGCCGAUCCUGACGCUCAGACGCGAAAGCUAGGGGAGCGAACGGGAUUAGAUACCCCUGUAGUC
rnacentral:rRNA from 1 species